UACGUAGGGUGCGAGCGUUGUCCGGAAUUAUUGGGCGUAAAGAGCUCGUAGGCGGUUUGUUGCGUCGGCUGUGAAAACCUGCGGCUUAACUGUGGGCUUGCAGUCGAUACGGGCAGACUUGAGUUCGGCAGGGGAGACUGGAAUUCCUGGUGUAGCGGUGAAAUGCGCAGAUAUCAAGAGGAACACCUGAGGUGAAGACGGGUUGCUGGGCUGACACUGACGCUGAGGCGCGAAAGCUAGGGUAGCAAACGGG
rnacentral:rRNA from 1 species